rnacentral:snoRNA from 1 species
GCCCUCUCAGGGUCUCACCUGGAGAGUUUCCAGUACUCUACCAGUCUCAGCUACCGGAGGGAGAGUCAAGAGAGGCAUACCCAUUCCAUUCCUAGCUUGGGCAGUGGCUAGCGAGUGGAAGGCAAUCUGCUACAAGU